AGAAUCAACGCUGGCGGCGUGCCUAACACAUGCAAGUCGAACGAGAAAGUGGAGCAAUCCAUGAGUAAAGUGGCGCACGGGUGAGUAACACGUGACUAACCUACCCUCGAGUGGGGAAUAACCUCGGGAAACCGGGGCUAACACCGCAUAACAUCUACGGAUCAAAUGCGUAAGCAGCUUGAGGAGGGGGUCGCGGCUGAUUAGCUAGUUGGCGGGGUAAUGGCCCACCAAGGCAGUGAUCAGUAGCCGGCCUGAGAGGGCGCACGGCCACACUGGAACUGAAACACGGUCCAGACUCCUACGGGAGGCAGCAGUGGGGAAUUUUUGCGCAAUGGGGGAAACCCUGACGCAGCAACGCCGCGUGGAGGAUGAAGCCCCUUGGGGUGUAAACUCCUUUCGAUCGGGACGAUUAUGACGGUACCGGAUGAAGAAGCACCGGCUAACUCUGCGCCAGCAGCCGC
rnacentral:rRNA from 1 species